GAUGAAUGCUGGCGGCGUGCCUAACACAUGCAAGUCGAGCGGCAGCGCGGGGUGCUUGCACCCUGUCGGCGAGCGGCGAACGGCUGAGUAACGCGUAGGAAUUUGCCCCAAAGUGAGGAAUAACUGCCCGAAAGGGUAGCUAAUGCCGCAUAUGGUCUUCGGAUUAAAGGAUUUAUCCGCCUUGGGAGAAGCCUGCGUUGGAUUAGGUUGUUGGUAGGGUAAUGGCCUACCAAGCCGACGAUCCAUAGCUGGUCUGAGAGGAUGAUCAGCCAGACUGGAACUGAGACACGGUCCAGACUCCUACGGGAGGCAGCAGUGAGGAAUCUUCCACAAUGGGCGAAAGCCUGAUGGAGCAACGCCGCGUGAAGGAUGAAGGCCUUCGGGUUGUAAACUUCUUUUAUGAGUGAAGAAUAUGACGGUAACUCAUGAAUAAGCACCGGCUAACUACGUG
rnacentral:rRNA from 1 species